CUGUCAUUAUCAUCCCGGGUAAAAGAGCUUUACAACCCUAAGGCCUUCAUCACUCACGCGGCAUUGCUGGAUCAGGCUUUCGCCCAUUGUCCAAUAUUCCCCACUGCUGCCUCCCGUAGGAGUCUGGGCCGUGUCUCAGUCCCAGUGUGGCUGAUCAUCCUCUCAGACCAGCUAAGGAUCGUCGCCUUGGUGAGCUUUUACCUCACCAACUAGCUAAUCCUACGCGGGCUCAUCCUUGGGCGAUAAAUCUUUGGUCUUACGACAUCAUCCGGUAUUAGCAGUCAUUUCUAACUGUUAUUCCGAACCCAAGGGCAGAUUCCCACGCGUUACGCACCCGUGCGCCACUAAGGCCGAAGCCUUCGUUCGACUUGCAUGUGUUAGGCAUGCCGCCAGCGUUCAUUCUGAGCCAUGGAUCAAACUCU
rnacentral:rRNA from 1 species